AUGCAGAAAGUUCUGACUAAAGUGACUGAUCAGAUGAAUGAUUUCCUGAUUUCACCAUAUACUCAUGAUGAUGUUCGUAAGGUCGUGUUUAGUAUUGGUGAUUUAAAAGCACCAGGGCCAGAUGGACUACAUGCACUUUUCUUUAAAAAAUAUUGGCAUGUACUUGGUGAUGCUAUUUCACAGGAGGUAUUGUUUGCUUUAAACAACCGCCAGAUCCCCGCUAAUUGGAACAAUACUUCCAUUGUUCUUAUUCCAAAAGUAGACACACCUGAAUUGAUUACUCAAUACAGACCUAUCAGUCUAUGCAAUGUCCUGUACAAAAUUAUUUCAAAGAUGUUAGCUAUGAGAUUGAAAAGCAUUUUUCUAGAGAUUAUUUCUCCCACUCACAGUGCGUUUGUCCCGGGCAAAAUGAUAAUAGAUAAUGUACUGGUUGCCUAUGAAUGUGUUCAUAAGAUCAAAAAUAAAAGAGUGGAGCAAACAUGCAUGUGUGUAGUAAAGCUGGAUAUGCACAAGGAAUAUGAUCGAGUGGAGUGGAUAUGUUUGAGGAGCAUGAUGCAGAAACUUGGUUUUCAUGAACAACGGAUUAAAAUGAUUAUGGCAUGUGUCAGUUAUAUAAAAUAUAAGGUGUGA
rnacentral:rRNA from 1 species